AUAUCAAUAAGCGGAGGAAAAGAAACUAACAAGGAUUCCCCUAGUAACGGCGAGUGAAGCGGGAAUAGCUCAAAUUUAAAAUCUGGUGUAAAGCCCGAAUUGUAAACUAAAGAGGCGCUAUCGGACACAAGUUUGUUGUACAAGUUCCCUGGAAUGGGACAUCACAGAGGGUGAGAAUCCCGUCUGGACAAUGGACAAGUGGCCAUAUGAGGCGUUCUCAAAGAGUCGAGUUGUUUGGGAUUGCAGCUCUAAAUGGGAGGUAAAUUUCUUCUAAGGCUAAAUAAUGGCAAGAGACCGAUAGCAAACAAGUACCGUGAGGGAAAGAUGAAAAGCACCUUGAAAAGGGAGUUAAAAGCGCGUGAAAUUGUUAAAAGGGAAACGAUUGAAGCCAGUAGGACCAUGGAGAGUUCAGCGGUACCUAUCGAGUAUUGCUGCGAUGAGAGUGCUUAAUUGUACCUCUAGCAGUGUGCGCAAGUAGACUAUCGUGCAUUCUUUCCAUGGUUAGUCAGUGACAAUUCGAGUUGCCGGAAAAGGACUUGGGGAAGGUGGCCAUUGCUUCGGCAUUGGCUUUAUAGACCCUCGUAGAUACGGCAGUUUGGAUUGGAAUCGG
rnacentral:rRNA from 1 species